GGAGGGGUAGGCGGGGAAAGUCUAGGAAGGAGGGAGAAGGAAGAGGAGCGAGGAAAAUCAAGAUGGAGACCACAGAGCAGGAUGAUCUAGAUCCAGGUGGACUGGGUCGAUUUCGUGUUGUGUAGAAGAGGAAGUUGGACCACUUGAAGCUGGAGGUGCAGACAGUCGUGAGCUGACAUGUGGUCGCUGAGAACUGAAAUUAGAUCCUGUGGACCAGCAGAAACUCCGUCUGGAUGGCUGCAGUACCGUGAGGGUGAGCAAGAGGACCAAGAAAUACAUGACGCUGUGUUCCGGCCUCCCUGGCUUUUCCACAUCAAGCAAGCUGAUUCCAAUGUGGACCCACAGUAAUCUCAUUAAAAGGCAAUUCUUUCUGCAUCAGUCACUCCCACUAGCUUGUAUAAUAUCCUCAGGGGAGCUGAAGUCCCACCAGCGUCCUCGUUUUCAUUUAUUUGAUUUAUGUCUAGUGACUUAACCUUAGACCCUGGUGUUUACUUAACUGAAAGACAUAUAAAGGGAAAAUCCAGUCAUGGUUAGUGUUCUUUUAGCUAUAGAUAGGCAGACUUAAUCCUAGAAGGGCUACACAGAUGAGAAAGAUGGACCUCUUCUCUCUCUCUCUCUCUCUCUCUCUCUCUCUCUCUCUCUCUCUCUCUCUCUCUCUCCCCCCCCCCCCCUAUCUCCUGUCUCAAGAGUAUUUAAUGUUUUGGUUGUCUAAGCAAAUCUCUUGCAGCUGCAGCUGUUCAGUUCUCUGUUCGUGCCAAGGACCCUUUGUUUAUAGUAAGUGCACCCAAGAAUUCUUCUAACACAAGUUGUUCUACUUAAGCUCCUUUGCAAGUCUCAGACUUUAUCGCAUCCACAGGGAAGCAGAACCAGGCUCUUCUUUCUCGACAUUCUUUCUGGUCAGAGCAGAAUGAGGAGGAUUUGAUUUCUCGCAAAGCAUUUAAGCGUGCUCAUGGUUUCUGCAUAGCUAUGAAGGAGAAAAGACUUCCUUGGACCUGUUUCUGGAUGGGCCCAAUUUCAUGCUAGGUGAGGACCCCCUUAGAGGGGCCUGAGCAAUAUUUAGUCCAUCUGUUGAAACCUUAAAGUCAGAAGAAAUCAAAAAGCUGAAGAAACAGAAGAAACAACUUGAUCAAAGGCUGCAGAGGGACAGGAGUGCCAGGCCCAUGAGCAACUCAGGGCCUCUCAGCACUGUGGGAACAACUAGUUGACACAUUUCCUCCCCCACCAUUUUUUUUUUAACAAACAAACAAACAAGGUCUUGCUAUGUAGCCCAGGCUAGCCUCAAAAUCUUUUUCUUCCAUGUUUAACCUCUCAAGUUCUGUGGCUACAGGAAUGCACCACCACACCUCUAUUGUAGACCUCAGGCAUGCUUUUCCUUCCUUUCUUAGUGUGUGUAUGGGUGGGUGGGGUGGGUGACUGUAUUUGUGCUUCCCUGCCCCUCCCCUCCCCCUCUCUGAGAAAGGAUCUCUCACUGGCCUAGCGCUCAUAGCCUUGUUGGCUGCCAAUGAGUCCCCAAGGUCUAUCUUUUUAGUACUGGAAUUUCAAUCACAGGCCACCACACCUGUUUGUCUGUCUGUCUGUCUGCCUUCCUUCCUUCUUUCCUUCCUUUUUCUUAUUUUUUUAUUUUGUUAUUGGUUGGAGGCAGGUUGUUUUAACUAGUUCUCCAACCCCUAGACAUGCUUUUAAGGCCCAUGAAUUUUGUUUAAAAAGUAGUUAUAGGUGUUGGAGAGGUGGCUCAGCGAUUAAGAACACUUGUAGUUUUAGAACCACACCCCCUCCCCCCGUUUCUGUGGAUGAGACUCCCCCUUCUGGAUUCCCACAGACAGCAGGCACAGAUGUUGAUGCACACAUUCAUAUGCAAAUAUUCAUACACAUAAAAUAAGAUAAAAAAAUCUAAAAAUACUUUUCGCAAGCUGGAUAUGUUGGUGCAUGCUUUUAAUCCCAGUAGUAAGGAGGCAGAGGCAGGGGGAUUUCUGUGAGGUCAGUGUGGUCUACAUAGUGAGUUCCAGGACAGCCAGAGCUACAUAGUGAAGCCCCGUCUCAAAAUUAAUUAAGAAAUAAUAAAUUCAGCUUAUCUCUUUUUGACCAUCAGACUCAAAAGUAUAUAGUUUCAGAGAUGAAACUUCUGGUAGCUGACCGUGGACUCAAUUCUAGACAUCUGUUUUUCUGUCAGAACUGCUUUAAUAAAAUGUCUAAAAUUUUGUUUGAUUUUGAGUUUUGGUUAUGUUUUGAUCUUGGUUUGGCUUUAACUGAGACAGGGUUUCUCUAUAUAGUCCUAGCUGCCCUGGAACUCACUCUGUAGACCAUGGUGGUCUCAAACUCCGAUAUCUGCCUGACUGCUUCCCAAGUGCUGGGAUUAAAGGUGUGUACCACACACUCAUGGACCGUCCAGGUGUUUUAAAGAUGUAAACACAGCCAGUAUCCUGAUGUUUGCAGUGUUUGCCAUCACCAAUACAAGAACCCAAUGUUUGGUAUCGUAUAGGGAAACAACAUCUGCCCAAAGUACUUGACUGAAACUGCCUCUUUCCGGUCUUUGUUAACUUCUCAGCGCCUUCUCUAAAGGUCACCUUCAAGGUGCAAGCGUUUGGCUAGCACUAGUCUGGCACUUGUAUUCUGUGUGACCUUCACCAAAAACUCUCUGGAUCUCUAAGUUCUCUUUUAAUGAAGUAAGGAAAGCAGUAGUGUCUCCUUGAAGUGGUUAUGGGCAAGUCAAGGUAGAAACACCAUGUAAACCUCCAGGGUGAUGCCUGGAUGGGUUGUCACUAGCGGUGUUCUGGGAAGGACCUGUGUGGGAAUGAGUGUAGCAGGAGGAGUGGUCAAGUGACAAGACAAGUAUGCCAGGUUCCUCAGGGUAUUUGAUGACAAGUUGAUAGAACAUACAAGGUGAGUUUGGUGAGCUGGCCACAGCUGAUGUCAGAAAGAGUACAUUUGGUAACAUUUCUUCACAAGAAAUGUUCAGUGCAAUCAAGUUAGUGGCUGGAGAUCAGCAAUGGUGGGAUAUUUGUAUCAUGGGAACCACAAGCAGUAUGAAACAGUCUCUUCCCUACCAGUACCCCGACUGGUAAACUCUCCCUGGAGCACACUGCCAGGCUGGAAGGAGACACCCACACUUGCAUCCCAGCUCCAUGCCUCAUCAGCCCUUAAAUCUAAAACCACAGCUUCUUGAGUUGGCGAUCACCCAAUGUUUGGCAACAGUAACAGAUUCGAGUACUUUGUAUUGUGCAUGUGUCAUUCUGGCAAGACUAAGGAGAGCCCAGUGAAGCGAUUGGGCUCAGAGUUAAGACUAUUGUGCGUUAUGAACAGAGCUUUUCCUAUAGUUCUCUGUUCUCCUAGCAACACAGUGGUCUCAUUCCAGAAGACAAAGACUUUUAAUGUUAUCUGGCCUUUAUGCGUCGGCAUGUAAAUGUCAAAUCCAUACAGCUCUGGGUUUUAACUACUUUAUCUAUGUGUAUGUCAAGAUUCGUGUAAAAAUUUCUCAAGUGAAAAGGGUUUCAAGCAGGGAAGUUUAAGAAUCCCUGCCUUUGGGCUGGAGAGAUGACUCAGUGGUUCAGUGGUUGAGAGCACUGACUGCUCUUCCAAAGGACCUGAGUUCAAUUCCCAGCACUCAUAUGGCAGCUCACAAGUGUCUGUAGCUCCAGGGUCUGACAUCUCACACAGAUAUACAGCAGGCCAAACACCAAUACAUGUAAAAUAAAAUGAAAAGUAAAUAGAUUGUUAAAAAAAGAAAGAAAGAAAGAACCCCCCCCCCCCCGCCCUGCUACAUCAGCUCCCUCAGGCAAUUGAGCCUCCAGCUUCUUGCCUGUACUUGAGGAACAGGUAUAAUAUAAGGCAAAGGACUGUCAAAAGCCAGGCUGGAGGUCAGGGUACAAUACCAGCACUUGGAAGGCUGAGGCAGGAAGACUACAAGCUUGAAGCUAGCCUGAUCUUUAUACUGAACCUUGUUCCUUUUCCCAAAAAAGGAUCAUUAAAAAGAAGAGAUAAGAUACAUGAAGGACUUAAAAUGUAACAGCAAACAAAAUUGCUAGUGCCCGUUCAAAACCUAGAGGAUACAAAUCCCAGCUGAACCUUGCAUCUUUUACUUGUUUUGGAUAAACAGUUGAUAAAGAUAAGAAGAGUAUGUUGGAGUGAUUUGGUCAGCCAGGCUUGGGAAAGGGUUUGUUUUAUGGGGGAAAAAUUCUGAAUAAGUUCUUUCCUUGUUUCUGUUUGAGAAACUAUUUAAACAAAUUUGAACAUCUAAACAAAGAUAGUCUUAAAGCCCCAAAUCCAAGUGCUCUAGGUCUCCUCUGAGCAGUUUUCAACAAUGUUGGGCCCAAAGCCAGAACAUGUUAGAAACGUUUUGAACUCACCCCACCCUGUCUCCAUGGCCAUCCUCCCCCAGAAUUUGAUACAGUGCCAAAAAUAGGAUCUUGUAAAUGUCUUAAGGCUUUCAUCCUUUCCCCUUAAAAACAAAAGUAUCUAAGACCUUGCAACGUAACAGACGGGGGUGAAGGGAAUACUGGCAUAGGAAAACUGUGGGUCAGAGAAUGCCCGGGAAGACCGCUGUCUGCAAUACUCUUGCUUUGUGGCAGGAAGAGCCUAGACAACUGCACAGCUGGCUUCCUGUCCAACUCUCCAAGCUUCCCCUUCAGUUUAUUCUUCAUGCAGAGAGCAAGGUCUCACCCCUGAUGGAAUCUUUGACCUCGUAGGAGCUCAAGACUAUCUCCAGUUGGGCAGCUCUGGGAUGGGCCCUGGAGUCCCUUGCUCUCAGUUGCUAUAAAGCAUGCAGAGGGAGUGGCCGGAACAGGAGAGGAAAGACUGAUUCUAGACCCUGGUGAGGCUCCGGAAGCCACACCCCAUGGGCUGGGGAAGGAAGGAGGCAGAAAGGAAGCGUCUGGAAGACUCUCCCUUGUUAGGGAAGUUCUAAUACUUCCUCUUUGUCACUGCUGUCUGCCUCCUUUUGUUGGCAAGGCUGCUAGGAGCCUGGAAUGUUCAGUGUACCACCCCAGGCUGGUCAUAUUAGUCACAUACUAGCACCCGCAUGUGCGUAUGCACGUGUGCAUGUGUGUAAAGGCCCAAGUGGUCACUUUUUACUUUAUCUUUUGAGACAGGGUCUCUUGAAGAUCCCAGUGUUUCCCAGAUUGACUAGACUGGCUGACCAGUCAGCUUUGGGCAUCUGCCUAUCUCAGCCUCCCUGCGUUGAAGUUAUAGAUGUAUAUGAGUACGUCCUGAUUUUUAAAUGUGUGCUGGAGACCUGAACUAGGGUCCUCAUGUUUGUGCAGCAGGCACUUUACAGGCUUAGUGUGGUGGUCUGAACAGGAAUGGCCACCAUAGACUCAUGUGUUUGAAUGCUUGACUCAUAGGAAGAGGAACUAUUAGGAGGGUGGCCUUGUUUGAGUAGAUGUGGCCUUGUUGGAAGCAGUAUGCCACUGUGGGGUGGUGGGCUUUGAGGUUUCCUAUGCUAAAGCUGAGCUCAAGCUACAUCCAGGCCCACUGUGGGCACAGUCUCCUUCUGCUGCCUGCAGAUAAAGAUGUAGAACUCUCAGCUCCUUCUUCAGCACCAUAUCUGAGGGCACAUUGCAUGCUUCCUGCCAUGAUGAUAAUGGACUAAACCUCUGAAACUGUAAGUCAGUCCCAGUGAAAUGUUUUGUUUUGUUUUUAAUAAGAGUUCCCAUGAUCAUGGUAUCUCUUCACAGCAAUAAAACCCUAAGACACUAAGCCUCUAGUCUUCUACAGAGCUUUUCUGGUACACUGUUGUAUAAUAGUUUCCUCUAAGACUGGAACAUUUCUGCAGGGAAGCUCCUUAAGUAGAUAGGUCAACAACUCAAAAUAGUUUUAGGAAGUCCCUAAAACUGAGCGGACUCACUAGGUCUCUCCCUACCACAGUAAACAUUAAAAGCUGAGAGUUCCUCUCAUAUAAGAGAGGGCUACCAAGAGGAUUCUGAGAGCAGAAAAGCUGCAAAGAAGACUCUGAGACCAGACCAGCUGCCUGCAAGAAACAGAAACCAGCCGAGCUGCCAGGAAUAUAUUAAGACUGGAGCCCCUUGGAAAAGACACUCUGAAACCUUUUGAGCUGCCAGCAGGAUGUGCUGCGUGCUCCAGGUUUCCCAACUUUGUAAGCUGUUAGCCAUGCUGGGGUGGGCCUGCGUGAUGCAACUGUCUUUGAGUCAUUUCAGCUCCUGUAAGUAACCCUUAACCAAUAUUCCUGUAAGUAACCCCAGGAAAACUCAUUGGUUCAACAAUGUGGACUCUGGCAGUUGUAAGUGUUGCAGCUCUAAAGGGGAAAGGUUUCCCCAGUGUAAGUGUUGCUGCUCUGAGGGUAAAGGUAUCCUAGCAGUUGGGAACCAAGGAAUGCCACAAAGUCAUACUGCACAACAAACCUCACCUGAGAGAUUUAUUGGGAGAGACACAAGAGAGUGCUUGCCUCUGCUUGGAUGAGAAGCAGCAGGUAACAAGACAGGAGGCAGGCUUAAUGUAGGGAUUCUUGGGGUAGGGGGGAGCUUUCCAGGGUGGGGAUUUCCAGGGUGGGGAUUGGUGGGAUCUCAGUGCAAAGCCAAGGAUUGGUAGAAUUUCAGAUUCAGAGAUUGGUGGGAUUUUUGAGCUCAGGGAUUGCUGAGUUUUGUUUUUUUUUUUUUUUCUUUCCGGAGCUGGGGACUGAACCCAGGGCCUUGCACUUGCUAGGCAAGAGCUCUACCACUGAGCUAAAUCCCCAACCCCGAUUGCUGAGUUUUUGAACUCAAGGACUGGUGGAGUUUUGAGGUCAGGCAUUGGUGGGUUGUGGUGAGCUUUCAAACUUGGAAAUGAGCUCGGACCUUUGCCCUACUGUGCUUGCUAUCUGUUGGUGUCAGAACUGCUUUUGCCUCCAGCAAUGACAUCACCUGGUCACCUGUGAAUCUGUUGCCAUGGCAAUGACCAUACAUUCCCAGCAUACUUUUGGUUCAGCUCCCACCUUCACCUGGGAGCAGUUAGGUCACAUUUCAAAUAAAAAGGCAGACCUUUCUGCCCUCUUCCUCUCUUUUCUUUCUCCCCCUUCCCCUACACCCCAGUCUCCACUAUCCCAGUAAACCUCUCCACAUGGAACCAUGUUGACCUGGUGUGGUUUGUCCAGAUGCAAGCCAUGAUUUCCACCCCAACAGUAUCUGUACUUUGGUCUGUUGUGAGUUCCCUAUCUAGUUUGAGCAGAUGUGUGUGUUGCAUGCCCCCAGGAAAAGUUUUGUCACGGGCUGGAGAGAUGGCUCAGAGGUUAAGAGCACUGGCUGCUCUUCCAGAAUUCCUGAAUUCAAUUCCCAGCAACCACAUGGUGACUCACAACCAUCUGUAAUAAGAUCUGAUGCCCUCUUCUGGUGUGUCUGAAGACAGCUACAGUGUACUCAUACAUAAAAUAAACCUUAAAAAAAAAAAAGUUUUGUCACACAGUACACACCUGUAGCAUUACCAAACUACGCCAUUGCUGUGGAAGCUAAAGAUAAGUAAAACUGUUUUACUCUGUUCCAUCCACAAGAUUCCACACAGUGAAAUCCUUCUUUGGAAUUUGUGAAAUUUUAUCAAUGGUGCAUCUAGGGCUUGGGUGGCUUCACUUCUUUUCAAAUGCAUUUCCCCCAUUCAUCUGCAAGCUCUCAGACUUCAGUUCUCCUUCUCCAACUUCACUUUGUGAAUACUGCAUCCCGAGGCUAACCUAGAACCAUGGUUCACAGUCAGUAAAGCCCCUGUCCUUCCAUUUUUGAUCUGUGCCAACAUCACCUAUUUAAAACGAAAACACAGAUUCUCUGUCCAAAGGAUAUGGUUUUACUGCAGUAUACUAGGAAUUCUCUCUGCAAAGAUGAGUCCCUCUAAUAAAAUUUUACAAGGAUGGUUUAAGGGUGAAUCUUAGCCAGCAGUGGUGGUUCAUGUCUAAAAUCUUAACACAAGGGAGGAGGAAGUAGGUGUGGUGGAUUGAAUAUUCUUGGCCCAAGGAAGUGGCACUAGUAGGAGGUGUGGCCUCAUUGGAGGAGGUGUGGCCUCAUUGGAGGAGGUGUGGCUUCAUUGGAGGAGGUGUGGCUUCAUUGGAGGAGGUGUGGCCUCAUUGGAGGAGGUAUGGCCUCAUUGGAGGAGGUGUGGCCUCAUUGGAGGAGGUGUAGACUUUUUAGAGGAAGUGUGUUACCAUAGGGGCAGAUUUUUUUUUUUUUGGUUCUUUUUUUCGGAGCUGGGGACCGAACCCAGCCAGGGCCUUGCGCUUCCUAGGCAAGCGCUCUACCACUGAGCUAAAUCCCCAACCCCAUAGGGGCAGAUUUUGAGGUCUCCUCCAAGUACUCAAGCUCUGCCCAGUACAGAAAAGAGCAUUCUCCUGGCUGUUUAAAGAAGAGAGCCUCCUGGCUUCCUGUAGAUGAACAUGUAGGACUCUCAGCUCCUCCAGCACCAUGUCUGCCUGCAUGCUGCCGCGCUCCCCACCAUGAUGAUAAUGGACUAAACCUCUGAAACUGUAAGCCAGUCCCGACUUUUGCCUUUAUAAGAGUUGCCUUGGUCACGGUGCCUCUUCACAGCAACAAAAGCCUCACUAAGACAGAAGGGUACCGGGAAUGCAAGCCUGGGGUCCAGAGUGAGCUGCGUGUGUGCCUAGGCUAGAGCCUGUGACCGUGCCUCAAAACGGCAACAAAGGAGUGAGUCUUGACAAAAACUAUCUGUGGCUUCGACAUUGUAUAAAAUUAUAGCUAUAGUUCUUCAUGGGAGAUGUGGUUACCCCUCCCUGCACUGGUCCCAUGUACUUUGAGGUUGUCUGAGUGUGGACAUAGUCACUUUCUUGAUUAGUGAGUUAUGAAGAAGUGGGUGGCUGUGUGGCUUUGAGAUGUCAUCUUUGAUCCUAAGGUAAAUAAAAAGUAGGAAAUGACUUUAUUACCAGUGAUGACUAAAUGACAGGGAAUGCUGGGAUUUUUUUGUAUUUAUUUUUGUGUGCAGUUUCUUUUUUUUAAGAUUUGUUUUAUAUAUGAGUACACUGUAGCUGUCUUGAGACACACCAGAAGAGGGCAUCAGAUCCCAUUACAGAUGAUUGUGAGCCACCAUGUGCUUGCUGGGAAUUGAACUCAGGACCUCUAGAAGAGCAGUCAGUGCUCUUAACCACUGAGCCAUCUCUCCAGCCCUGUACAUUGUUUUUUGUAAAUCUGCAUUUAUGUUUGUGCCACGUGCAUGCUUGGUGCCCAGGGGGCCAGAAAAGGGUGCUGGAUUCCCUGAGACUGGUGUUGUAGAUCAUUGUGAACUGCCUUGUGGGUGCUGGGAUUGAACCUAGAUCCUCUAGAAGAGAAGCCAGUGAUCUUAACCUCUGAGCCAUCUCUCCAGCCCCUAGAGGGGUCAGUCUGAAGCUGUGAUUGAUACAGUGUGGUAGAGAGUGGAGAAACUCAUGAAUUCUUGUUGAUGUCUUUUAGACACAAAGAAACCUUACAGAUGCACUGAUAAUUCCGAUAACCAUCCCUUAUCGCUUGGACCAGUUGAAUCAGUAUCUUAGUUACUCACAGUUGAAGCUUUGUAUAUCAGGUGCAAUAAGUGGUUUACUUUAGAAAACACUUUCCAGUGAAUUUACACAGCUGAGGUCAUCAAGAAGAUACAUUUCAUAAAGUUAGAAGUCCUGCAGGAAUUUUAUUUCUACUUUUUAUGUCUUUAAAAUUUUCAAUUUAAACGAUCUGUUCUCGCCAGGCAUGUUGGGGGACAUGCCUUUAAUCCCAGCAAUCUGGAGGCAGCCAGGUGAAUCUCUGUGAGUUUGAGGCCAGUCUUGGUUACACAGCAAGUUCCAGGAUAGACAGGACUACAUAGUGAGACUGUGUCUCCCAAAACUACUACCACCACCACCACCACCACUAAUAAUAAUAAUUAUUUAACAUUUUGUUCUAUACCACAGCCUUUAGAAUCAUGGAAUCUUGGUUGCUCACGUGUCUGUUAGUUGAAUAUUGUAGUUUCAUUUUGUUUCUGCAACAAACAUGAGCAAGAGGAACUUGGGGGGCGGGGACAAGGGUUUGUUUGGCUAGGUCACAAUACAUGAAGGGAAAUCAAGGCAGGAACUGGAAGCAGACACCAUGAGGAAUGCUGCUUGUUUGUUCACUCCAAGGACCAUGCCUGGCUUGCUUUAUUAUGCAGUUCACGCCCACCUGCCUAGGGAUGGUACCGCCCAUAGUAGGCUGGGCCCUGUGAAUCAGUUACUAAAUGAAACAGUCCUGGACUGACAGAUCCUCAGGCUAAUCUGCCUUAGGCAAUUUCUCAGUGUAAGCUUUCCUUUCGGCUGACUCUAGACUGUCGGGGUAAACCAGAAACAGUAACUGAGGAUAACUUUAGAUUUGCUAGAGGAGGGUAUGACAUCUGUCCACGCAAGGAGUUAAGCUGGUCAGCCCCUUUACUUCAGUAACAUGAGAAUAAAAACUCUUGGCCUUGGCUCUGCUGACUGUCCAAACAUCUGAAUCUGACUUCGAUUAGCAACCCGGAUAUUUCCACUCCAAAUUUUGCUGACUGUUACAGCUCACGCAGAGCCCAGCUGCAAGCAAGGAGCUUGCCAAGCGAGCUAUAAUCCAUCAUUCCCCCGCUGGAGGUUAGAGGCUGCCUGGCUCAAGUCCGUCCAGCAAGCCUGUGGGUAAUAGUGCGCUCCCUCCUCCUCUCCAGAUCUCUGUUGACCAGAAAAUUACUACUUUAAUGUCAGGAUUCCGUGGGCACCCACUAGGAUUUCCAGGUUCUUGUUUCCUGGAGCAGACUGGAUGGAGGUACGAAGAAAGAGGCAGGCAACGCAGAAGGAUUUGUGAAGAGAGAUCUUAUCCCUGAGGGAGGGAGUGGGAUGAAGCACAGGUGCGUUAGCAGUUCAGUGCACAGAGCAUGGGUACACACAUGGGCGGGUGAGGGGUCAGGGACAGUAGGGGGACAUUCCUGUCACAUGGUGCAGGUUUGGGGAUCAUUUGUACAGUAUAGACUUUCUCAUACAUGCUCUCUAUGUGAAGUCCACAGUGAGUCACCUACAGGAAAUGCAGUGCCACUGAACGUGUGCCAAUGACUCCAGACUGGUCUACGUAGCCUGUCUUGAGGUGUCUAGCCCAUUUCUUUGGCGGGAAGCUUCCUUUGUGUGCUCAUUUUUCUGCCUUUCUAAAAUGCAUCUUGAACCUUGCACUCCACCUUAUUCGCCUAUUUCAACUCUUUCUGAGAGCCGUGGAACCGGAAAUCUUUUGGGGCAGGGAGCUGAAGGGUGAUGACCCGUUGUUAUUUUAUAACCACUGCCUUUAUGUUCAGGGAUAUCUCCCAGCUUGAGAGGAACCACAGGGCUCUCCCUGUUCUGUAUAGAUGAGGAAGAAGGCCUGCCUGGCCGCCUCCGUCCGCAUGGCUGUAAUCCCUGUAUCACAGGAGUUUAGUCUGACCCUUCUGUACUCUAGAACACAAAUUCUGUAAGGAUGUUGGUUAGAGAGAUAGGGUCCAAAGAUUGAUUACACCGAUCAACAACCUCCCAAGGGGCAAGCACUAGGAAAGCCAUGACCAUGGGAUAGAUUUACAGGUAAAUAGGGGGAUAGAGAGGGGUAAUAGUGAAUAUGGCUCCUAGAGAGGACCCAAGUCCAGGUCCCAUCAUCUAUGUUGGACUCCUUACACCCUCUACCUCCAUCUCCAAGGGAGUCUGUACUCUCUUCUGCCUACCAGGAUAGCUACCGUCAUGUACACAUGCACACGCACACAUCCAUGUACGCACGCACGCACGCAUGCACAUCUGUAUUUUUAAAAUAAAAAUUACACCUUUUAAAAAUUUGUUUGUAAAUUAUGCAUGUUGGGGGAGGUGUGCAUGUGGGUGUGAGUUCCCACACGGGUCAGGAGAGGACGCUGGAUCCUCUGGAGUCAUGGCUGAGUUGCUUGAUGUGACUGCUUAGAACUGAACCUGUGUGCAAGAGCAGUGCCAUCUCUCCAGCCCUAACCACUGGCCUCUACAUCUUUUCUUUCUUUUUUUCUUUUUAGGGUAAUAGUGUGAAAUUGUAAUAACUGCUUGUCUUUUACACCAACACGCCCCAAAGAAGAAAACCAAGACAUACAGCAAGGUUAAUACUGCAGGUGGUUUUAUAAAUAAGACUCAUCUUUGUAUUUUAAGUUAACAAAUACAGUUUUUUUGUUUGAAGACAAAUUUCAAGUCUUUAGAACUUUACAGUUUUCAGGUGUGAACAGCCGCAUCUUUGAGAUGUUCUUAAGGCUGUGGAGAAUUCUUUUAAAUCUUGGUGGGGCCAGCCUCUAUCAACCCUGAAAACCUGUACAUGUCACCUGAAGAUACUUAUGUCCUUGGCAAGGCGCAUCAACCAGUGCGGCUUUAGCCACUACGACUUUUUUUGCAUUUAUUUAUGUGUGUGUACACAUGCGUGCAAAAAUGUCAUGACAUUCAUGUGGAGAUCAGAGGACAACUUAAAAGAGCAAACUCAGACCACCGGACUUGGUGACAAGCACCUUUGUGCUACUGAGCCAUCUUGCCAUCCCAAGUUGCCGUAAUUUGCAAGCAUCCUACCCAACUAGUUUUGGUGGAGAAGUAAAACAUGGCUCUAGGAAUGUCUUCUCGAUUUUAAGUGAGAACUUCCAAUGUCGUGCCUUGCUCCUAGGCUAUGUGCAGGGCAAUCUUCAAGGCUAGAGCUCAUUUGGUUUGGGGGACAUUCUCAUCAACACUUGUUUCUAUACACACGUAGAUUAUUUCCUGUUCUCUCUCUCUCUCUCUCUCUCUCUCUCUCUCUCUCUUACACACACACACACACACACACACACACACACACACACACGUCCUAGAUUAUCGAUUAAGGUAGAGAAUAAAGCUCCAGGAUUGGAAUGGAACUUAACAUCUUUUUUCCUUUUUGCUUUGCCAUGUCAAGAGUUAUCCGGGGAGCCUCGAUGGCUCUCUGGGAAUUUAUUCAAUAGGAAACCCAGGCUGUACCAGUUUUCACUGGAGAUGGAGAUGCUCUCAGGGCUAAGGGUCUCACUUUGGGCUUGUUCUUUACCUGUAAUUUCUUCCCUGAGCCUUUUGGAUGGUACUCGGCUCCUGUUGUUGAAAAGCUGAAUUUAAAAGUUAACCCUGGGGGUCUGGAACAAGCUUCCUUCUGAUGCUGAGAGAAGACUGACUGGCAAAAUAAGUAUCUAACCUGGCCACAUCUGACCUUUGGGAGAAUUUUAAUAUUGUUUGCAUUGUCUUUGGUAGUGUGUGUGUGUGUGUGUGUGUGUGUGUGUGUGUGUAUGUGUGAGUGUAUGUAUAUGUAUGUGUGUGUGUAUGUGUAUGUAUGUGUGUGUAUGUGUGUGUGUAUGUGUGUGUAUGUGUGUAUGUGUAUGUGUGUGUGUGUAUGUGUGUGUGUAUGUGUGUAUGUGUGUGUAUGUGUGUAUGUGUGUGUAUGUGUGUAUGUGUAUGUGUGUGUAUAUGUGUGUAUGUGUGUAUGUGUGUGUAUGUGUGUAUGUGUAUGUGUGUGUAUAUGUGUGUAUGUGUGUAUGUGUGUGUAUGUGUGUAUGUGUGUGUAUGUGUGUAUGUGUGUGUGUGUGUGCAUUUGUGUGUAUGUGUAUGUAUGUGUGUAUGUGUGUGUGUGUGUGUGUGUGUGUGUGUGUGUGCAUUUGUGUGGACAUGCACACACUAUGGCACAUGUGUAGAAGUCAGAGGACAGCUUGAAGGGCGUUAUUCUCUCCUUCCACCAUGUGGGCCCCAGUAGUCAGGUCAGACUCAGCGAGCUUCCCAGGCUUGGUGGGCAGGACCCACAUAGGCCCAGUUGUCUCAUGAGGCCCCACUACAUUUCUUAAACCCCAAACAGGACUGAAGUUUUACAUCUCUGCCCUACCUUGCUGUUCAUUUCCAUCCCUUCAGGUUACUUGCUUUACAUGAGCUCGUUAAACCAGAGAUGUCAUUGUCCCAGUCUUAGAUCCCAGAACAACGGAAGCAGCCCCAAACCCUCAGCUACACCCUGGGCAGGAGCUGUCAUCCGAGAACCAGUCUGUCCCUUCAGACUACAGGGUUGACACUGGACGACCUCGAAGAACCAGAACCGAGACAGCGAUUAACCAGGUUUUACCAAGAUGUCGGCCCAGUUAUGCACGCCUCUUGUCCACUGUUCUAAUUUUAUUUCUCUAUGUGAAAUUAAGAACUUAAAUUUAAGUUGAGCACAUCCCAGGGGAAGUUUAGAAGCAUUGUUUUUGAACCCUUAACUUUUCUUGUUUAUUUAUUUAUUUUUCUUUCUUUUUUUCAGAGCUGGGGACCGAACCCAGGGCCUUGCACUUUCUAGGCAAGUGCUCUACCACUGAGCUAAAUCCCCAACCCCUGAACUCUUAACUUUUCUAUGCUUUCUUCUCCCGGGGCCAGGAUUUGAACCAAUCACCUAUGUUGUCUCUUCUACCGUGAGUUACAGUCCCUGCUAUGGACGUCUCUGAAGCUGGUUUUGAUCUAAGCUUCCCAGUCCCCAAGGCAGACCCGAGACCAUCAGACCUCUUUGCUUCUCCAACAUGGCUACAUUUAUUAAAUCUCUUCUUUCUGCCCCUUGCCCUUACUCCGUUUAUUCAGGCCUAGAAGAGGCUGCCGGAAACAGGAUGCCCGCCUUAAAACUUACACUAUGAACUAAAAGGAAUUUGGACCGCUUACCAAAUUUAUAUGACCACUUACUCGUCAGCUAAUUUGGUGCCUUGUAACUAAUAAUGUAAAGACAGAGGCGUAUGUAGCAAUACAGAUAAAUCUAUAGUUAGCCGUAAAGGUAGCUUUAAAAACAAAAGGCUGCGUUGACUUUCUUUAGCUCUGUCAUUUGCCAAUUUUUUAAGACAGACCAUUGAUCCAAUUAGUUUCUCCGAAGUAUUUACCUAAGAUUUGCGCCUCAAACCACCGCUCUGAAAAGUAGUCGCAAAGCACAAAGCUCAGAUGGUCCUCAAAGAAAGAUCCCAACCUGAUCGUUGAUAAGGUUCAAGCAGAUGCCAGAAAGAAAAAAAGAGCUGAAAAUAUGAGUUUGUGGUGUAGAUCUAAGGUGACGACAGAGCAGAGAGCAGCUGAGGCAACCUCGGUUUUCUUCAGUCUUCAGCCAGCUCGUUGAGAAACAGGGCGGGAUUCAUCCCCCAUUUCUGGAGUAACACUAUGGCUCUUAUCGUGCUUAUCAGGUUUUUAGAACAAUUUUCUUUCCUUUGAAGAGACUCUCUACAUUCCCCUACAUCUGUGCCUGAGGGUCCCUGUUCAGGUGUGGCAAUCACAAACAUGGGGCUUCUCGGGCCUGUGCUGCAGGCAGAUAUUGGGAUUGUGAGCAAGUUGUUGGUCAGAUUGUCUCCUUGCUUUUCUCCAAUCCCGCCUCUCUCCUACAGCACCCCAAGUCCUCAGGAUCAAGUACAGGGCCUUCCAUGUGAACCCAGAGGCUUAAGUCAGGGCCUGACAGUUGUGAGUAGUACCAGUGUGCUCAGAGUCAGUUCCUGGCUUACUCCUGCAUUGCUGAAAUGGAUUUUAAUCGCCCUAGAUGGUUCAGGAGCCUCCCUCCAGUGGAAUGGAUGGAGGACGGUAAGCUCCACUCCUUGUAUGCUCAACAGGACCUGUUUUUUUCGGUAGAAGGAAGAACUUGAGGUAGAAGGAAGCUUAUGGAGGUGGUGUGCAUCUCUAAAGCUCUUGAGAGGAUAGUUCAUCUUCAGAGCCCUGUUGAUCCUUGUUUUCCCUUUGGGAAGCGUGUAGGUCACUUAGGAUAUUAGAUGUACCUUCCUCUCAUCUUCCUCUGCAUAGCCCCGUCCAUCUUGGUAGAAGCACAUAAGGCACGUUGGUCUUAAGGUCUAUAAGACAUGAGCUCCCUUGGUAGCAAGUCCAGCUGCAGGGGCUGUGCCACAGCUUAGGCUUCCAACCUUUAGCCAAACUUUCUUAUCUCCCUUUUAUAUUGGAGCCAGAGAAUAUCACGACAUUUCUUUUCAUCGUCAGGAUCACAACUAUUCUAGUUCUUGAAGAUGCACGGUUGUAAGGAGUCCAAGAGAACUGAAUGUCUCAGGGAAUGGCAAGAAAUCAAGGUCCUUGGAAUGUUCUUGGAGUUCUCUUAAGAAUGUAGUUAUUCAUGUUUAUUAAUGUGGAAACUAUUUGUUAACUUCAUGUUAUCGUUACAAAAUGCUUGAGUCAAUUAAAUUAUAAAGAAGAAAAGGUUUCCUACGGCUCACAACUAUGGUUUCCUUUACACAUUCCGUGAUGGAGUGGGCCUCAUUCUUUGGGCCAUCAUGGCUGGAGUGGUGCUAUAGCAAAUGACUCAGCUCAUCGACUAAAGGCAAAGCCAGGAGAAGAGGAAAGGCCAGGGUCCCUCCCGACAAGGACUUGCCUCCCAGGGAUCUCCCCAAUACUCCACUUCCUAAGACACACAGCAUCCACUUGGGACCACAAGGGCCUUAGGAGGACCAGCAGCAUCAAGAUUACCCAGAAUGCAGGAGAAGGAAGAGUGAGUGAGCCAGCAAAACAAGAAAUCCACUAAGAAAUGAAAGGGAUCCAGGGUGUGGUGGCGCAGGCCUUUGAUCCCAGCACUCUGGAAGCAGAGGCAGGCAGAUCUCAAAUUCAAGGCCAGCCUGGUUUACAGAGCAAAUCCCAGUACUGUCCGUACUGACAGAAUAAAACUUGUCUCAAAAAAAUACAAGCAAGCAAGCACUCAUGGCAUCCUCCAAGUCAUCGAUUCACUUCCUGUGCCAUGUAUGUCCCAGUCUUUCCAUUUUCAACACGAGCCUCGUCCAGCCACUCUUCGCCUUGCACAGUCACCAGUGCGGACCAUCCGCACUCCAAGUUGUCACAGAGAUGGAGUGUUGUCAUUAAGCACCACCCUACACAUGCAAAAUCUUCUUAUGUCUCUCCUAAAGCUACACCCAUUACACAGCACUUUAAAAAUCAAGAUUAAUUUGCCUUUUAACCGUGUUUUCAGUAUUCUAGAUGGCCUCUGGGUAAAGGAUUUAUCCCCUCACCUUAUGAAAGUAACGUGACUAACAUAAUAAGGGUGCCUAAUAUUCUUUGUACUUUAGUUAACGCUAUGAACUACAGAGAUGACUGACAGUGCCCAUAUUCGGACAUUAAUGACAAUGUUCAUUUUAAAUAUUCUCAUUAAAACACAGGGACAUAUCUUAAGCCCAUUGCCUUCCUUGAUGUUCUCUUACCCACAAGCCUUCUACCUUGAUUGCCUGUUGCACUUGUCCAACAGAACAAGCACCCCUUGGCAAACAGAUGGCUAUGUAUAGCAUCACUGUGCUCUGGUUAAAUGCUGCUCUGUCCCACCCAGUAGCCCUCUGUAUUCUCUGAAACAGACAGAUGAUUCUCUUGAUACUCCAGGAAAGCCCUAAGCAUACUUUAUUCUGAAAUGUCUAACUUUGACGAUAACUCUAAUAGAAAAUUAUUCGGUGACUUUUUAUAUCUUAAGAAUAAUUGUAAAAUUUUACUAUAUAUAGAUACCCUUACUGUAUAUAGGUUUACUGUAUAUAGAUUUACUGUGUACAGAUUCUAGAAAUUCUGUUACCAACAUUACUUUCUUUAGUUCUGAUGUGAGAAUGUGCAUGGAGCAGAGAUCUAAGUCACAACACUAUUCAUGGUUUUGACAUAUAACAAAAACUGUAGGGCUGUCUAACUCCUUUGGGUACUUCAAGCAAUGACUUUAAUUAGAAAAAUAUAUUUUAGAGACUGUCGAACAUUUAUUUCUAUAAUUGUAAUGAAGGAUCUUUUUUUUUAAAUAAAAACACACUGGCCAAGCAUUAGACACAAUGAAUAGGACCCACUGGUGUGGUUACUGUAAUUCUAAGGUGGUUGUUUGAACUGAUUUGUAAUACAUAAUAAAAUCAACCAAAUUAAAAACAACAAUUUAUUCCGCCUGUAAGAUAUCACAUUGGUUGUUCCGAAUACUUCCCACACUCCUUGAUACCUUAAGAAGCCACAUCUUUACGUUUUUACACUUACAGAUCAGGAAGUAAUUUGGGAAGUGGGUCAGCCUCAAAUCACUUCAAAUUUCAGAAAACUAUGAGCCGAAAACAGUUUCUAACCUAGGAGAUUUAACAGAUGAUCAAAUUUACUUUAACAAUCAUAAUCCAGGAAAAGCUAGAUUAUUUUUUUUAAAAUCUCAAGUUUACAGUUAAAACAUUUAAAGAAGGGGUUGGGGAUUUAGCUCAGUGCUAGAGCGCUUGCCUAGGAAGCGCAAGGCCCUGGGUUCGGUCCCCAGCUCCGGAAAAAAAAAAAAAACCAUUUAAAGAAAUGUCAUUGUAAUAUUGCUUUGAAGUCCUAAGCAUAUAGAAUGAACCAAUGGUGCCUAAUAAUCAGAGCUGUUCCACUCUUCCAAAAUGAUUGAUCUGUCAAAAAUACCUAUAAAUUCUCACUGCAUAGCAUCAUGACAUGAGACCUGCAAGAUUUUCCCUCUGAUGGCGCCUAUUUGGACCAUUCUGGCUGGUCACCUAUGGUCACCUAUGUGGUCAAGAGUCCUACGGAUAAAAAGUUAAAUUCUAAAUGUCCAUGGCUGGACUUACUCCACAACAUCAACUUAGGACACAGUGUUCAAAUAGAACCUGAUUUUGUCAUCCUCAGAACUGCACUGGCAACAUCUAAUGUGCCUCCUCUCCCUGGUUUCCAUUUCUCUUCCUUCCUUUCUUUAAACUUUUAUUUAUUUGUACGUUUUAUUUUGUUCUGAGACAGAGCCCCACUCUGUAACACUGACUGACCUUUACUCUGCACACUGCCUGGCCUUGAACUUACAGAAAUCUACCUACCUCUGCCUCUCUGAGUGCUGGGAUCAAAGUUAGGUGCCCACCAUACCUGAUCCUUCCUUUCUUUUUAGAGUCAAUCUCACUUUAAAGUCAAAGUUGAUUUCAAAUUCUCCACCUUUUUUAACUUCUGGAAUGAAUGCUGAGACUACAAGACUGUGCAUCCAAGCCUAGCCAUCACUUCCUGUCUAAUACUAGUCACUUCCUGUCUGAGGCUGUUCCUAAGUUCUUAGCCCUACCUCUGGGCACGUGCUUCCCAGGAAAUGUACUUGGGGUCUGUCUUAGUUAGGGUUUUACUGCUGUGAACAGACACCAUGACCAAGGCAACUCUUAUAAGGACAACAUUUAAUUGGGACUGGCUUACACAGGUUCAGAGUUUCAGUCCCUUAUCAUCAAGGCAGGAACAUGGCAGCAUCCAGGCAGGCAUGGUGCAGCAGAGCUGAGAGUUCUACGUCUUCAUCUGAAGGCUGCUGGUGGAAGACUGAUUCCACCCACAGUGACACACCUACUCCAACAAGGCUACACCUUCUAAUCCUGCACUCCCUGGGCCAAGCAUAUACAAACCGUCACAGGGUCCUUGCCUUGAUCUUAUUCAGAGAACAACUGUACGUCUGACUCAAGUGUCCUAAGAAGCUGAGUCACUUCAGGUCCCUCUCCACCAUCUGUGGAUGGGAAAGGACAUCCGGGAAGACAACUAGCUGCCUUUCAACCCCUUCAGGGCAACUGCUGUGAUGAGGUUAAGGGAUGUAUAGUUUGUCUUUUAUUUUAAUCCUUUCUGCUCAUAUCUUAACUACCUCUUCUAUGUAAUUCUCUGUACCUAUUUUUUUUUCAGAGGUUCUUGCAGGUACUACAGAUAUUUCUAAAUAUUAAAUUGGAUCUGCAGCCUAAAACACACACACACACACACACACACACACACACACACACACACACACACAAUCACAGACACACAAACACACACACACACAUACACACACAGAGACACACAUACAGAUUCUCACACACAGACACACACACAGACACACACACACACACACACACACAAACACACACACACAUACACACAGACAGACAUACACACAAAUAUUGACAUCUAUCACUGCCCUAACCAAUUAAGCUGAGGCUACUCGGAGUCUCAAGAGGAUCCAAGGAUGUGAGAAAAUAAGGGGAUAAGCAACUAAUUAUGUAAAUUACACCCCAAUUAUUUUCUUAGAAUGUUAUGCAAAAAUCUUUGCGUGAUUAAAAAAAAAACUCUCCUGGGAAUUUUGUACUCCAAAAUUAGAGCAAUUAAAUCAGA